CAAUAAGCGGAGGAAAAGAAAAUAACAAUGAUUCCCCUAGGUAACGGCGAGUGAAACAGGGAAAAGCUCAAAGUUGGAACCUCCUGGCCCUAGGUUAGGCGGAUUGUAAACUAAAGCUUUCGAGUAGUACGGCUAGCCCGGUAAAUAAGUUCUCUGGAAAGGGACGACAUGGAGGGUGAAAUCCCCGUCUUUGGCCGGAGCAUAGUCCUACGUUUGCUUGAAAGUGAAGAGUCAGGUUGUUUGGUAUUGCAGCCUAAAGUGGGAGGUAAAUCUCUCCUAAAGCUAAAUAUUGACGAAAGACCGAUAGCGAACAAGUACCGUGAGGGAAAGAUGAAAAGCACUUUGAAAAGAGGGUCAAAAAGUACGUGAAAUUGCUGAAAGGGAACCGUAUGAAAUCAGCUUGACUCUUUGGUAAUCAGCCUGGGCUUUGGCCUGGGUGCACUUGCCAGUGGGUUGGCCUGCGACAAUUUGGCUUGGAGGAAAAAAUAAGGGAGAAUGUGGCCUUGGCUUCGGCGGAGGUGUUAUAGCUCUUUUAAAAAUACUCUGGGCUGGAUUGAGGACUGCAGCGAGCCUUUUAGGGAUGAACUGUGGGCGCUUGGUUGAGGGCAGGAGAAAAUUUCUGCUUCGGGUGGUGUUUUUUUGUCCCCAGCCAACUCGCCUACUUUUUCUUUUUCUCGCUUAGGUCGCAGGCAUAAUGAUUUUAUAUGACCCGUCUUGAAACACGGACCAAGGAGUCCACCAUAGUUGCGAGUCUUUGGGUGUAAAAACCCAUAGGCGGAAGGAAACUGACCAAGAUAUGAAGGCCGUAAGGCUGGCAAUAUCCUCCAGCGAGGACGUUUUAUACUGAAUUGACUGAGAGAAAGCAAUUAUGAUGGGACCCGAAAGAUGGUGAACUAUACUUGAAUAGGGUGAAGCCAGAGAAACUCUGGUGAACNGCUC
rnacentral:rRNA from 1 species